UGCCUUUAAGUGUUGCCCUUUCAUUGCUCCCUUAGUGAUUGGGGUGUCAAAUAAGGCAAACAGCAACUGUUGUGGUUGUUUGUAUAAAGAGACUCUAAUGUGGUUCUUUUGCUCAAACAGCUGCAGCUACACUG
ensembl:snoRNA